rnacentral:rRNA from 1 species
ACACAUGCAAGUCGAGGGGCAGCAUGGUCUUAGCUUGCUAAGGCCGAUGGCGACCGGCGCACGGGUGAGUAACACGUAUCCAACCUGCCGUCUACUCUUGGACAGCCUUCUGAAAGGAAGAUUAAUACAAGAUGGCAUCAUGAGUCCGCAUGUUCACAUGAUUAAAGGUAUUCCGGUAGACGAUGGGGAUGCGUUCCAUUAGAUAGUAGGCGGGGUAACGGCCCACCUAGUCUUCGAUGGAUAGGGGUUCUGAGAGGAAGGUCCCCCACAUUGGAACUGAGACACGGUCCAAACUCCUACGGGAGGCAGCAGUGAGGAAUAUUGGUCAAUGGGCGAGAGCCUGAACCAGCCAAGUAGCGUGAAGGAUGACUGCCCUAUGGGUUGUAAACUUCUUUUAUAAAGGAAUAAAGUCGGGUAUGGAUACCCGUUUGCAUGUACUUUAUGAAUAAGGAUCGGCUAACUCCGUGCCAGCAGCCGCGGUAAUACGGAGGAUCCGAGCGUUAUCCGGAUUUAUUGGGUUUAAAGGGAGCGUAGAUGGAUGUUUAAGUCAGUUGUGAAAGUUUGCGGCUCAACCGUAAAAUUGCAGUUGAUACUGGAUAUCUUGAGUGCAGUUGAGGCAGGCGGAAUUCGUGGUGUAGCGGUGAAAUGCUUAGAUAUCACGAAGA